rnacentral:rRNA from 1 species
GACAAACGCUGGCGGCGGGCUUAACACAUGCAAGUCGAACGGAAAGGCCCUGCUUUUGUGGGGUGCUCGAGUGGCGAACGGGUGAGUAACACGUGAGUAACCUGCCCCUGACUUUGGGAUAACUUCAGGAAACUGGGGCUAAUACCGGAUAGGAGCUCCUGCUGUAUGGUGGGGGUUGGAAAGUUUCGGCGGUUGGGGAUGGACUCGCGGCGUAUCAGCUUGUUGGUGGGGUAGUGGCUUACCAAGGCUUUGACGGGUAGCCGGCCUGAGAGGGUGACCGGCAACAUUGGGACUGAGAUACGGCACAGACUCGUACGGGAGGCAGCAGUGGGGAAUAUAGCACAAUGGGCGGAAGCCUGAUGCAGCAACGCCGCGUGCGGGAUGACGGCCUUCGGGUUGUAAACCGCUUUCGCCUGUGACGAAGCGUGAGUGACGGUAAUGGAUAAAGAAGCACCGGCUAACUACGUG